rnacentral:rRNA from 1 species
UACAGAGGUCUCAAGCGUUGUUCGGAUUCAUUGGGCGUAAAGGGUGCGUAGGCGGCGCGGUAAGUCGGGUGUGAAAUCUCGGAGCUUAACUCCGAAACUGCAUUCGAUACUGCCGUGCUUGAGGACUGGAGAGGAGACUGGAAUUUACGGUGUAGCGGUGAAAUGCGUAGAUAUCGUAAGGAAGACCAGUGGCGAAGGCGGGGUCUCUGGACAGUUCCUGACGUGAGGCACAAAGGUCAGGGGAGCAAACGGG